UGUUCGUGUUUACCAACCAGC
ensembl:piRNA 21ur-11537 ncRNA